rnacentral:rRNA from 1 species
UGGGGAAUCUUCCGCAAUGGACGAAAGUCUGACGGAGCAACGCCGCGUGAGUGAUGACGGCCUUCGGGUUGUAAAGCUCUGUUAAUCGGGACGAAUGGUUCUUGUGCAAAUAGUGCGAGGAUUUGACGGUCCCGGAAUAGAAAGCCACGGCUAACUACGUGCCAGCAGCCGCGGUAAUACGUAGGUGGCAAGCGUUGUCCGGAAGUAUUGGGCGGAAAGCGCGCGCAGGCGGAUUGGUCAGUCUGUCUUAAAAGUUCGGGGCUUAACCCCGUGAUGGGAUGGAAACUGCCAAUCUGGAGUAUCGGGGAGGAAAGUGGAAUUCCUAGUGUAGCGGUGAAAUGCGUAGAUAUUAGGAAGAACACCAGUGGCGAAGGCGACUUUCUGGACGAAAACUGACGCUGAGGCGCGAAAGCCAGGGGGGCGAACGGG